GACGAACGCUGGCGGCGCGCCUAACACAUGCAAGUCGAACGGAGCUGAGAGAAGCUUGCUUUUCUUAGCUUAGUGGCGCACGGGUGAGUAACGCGUGAGUAACCUGCCCUGGAGUGGGGGACAACAGUUGGAAACGACUGCUAAUACCGCAUAAGCCCACGAUCCGGCAUCGGAUUGAGGGAAAAGGAUUUAUUCGCUUCAGGAUGGACUCGCGUCCAAUUAGCUAGUUGGUGAGGUAACGGCCCACCAAGGCGACGAUUGGUAGCCGGACUGAGAGGUUGAACGGCCACAUUGGGACUGAGGCACGGCCCAGACUCCUACGGGAGGCAGCAGUGGGGGAUAUUGCACAAUGGGGGAAACCCUGAUGCAGCGACGCCGCGUGGAGGAAGAAGGUUUUCGGAUUGUAAACUCCUGUCGUUAGGGACGAUAAUGACGGUACCUAACAAGAAAGCACCGGCUAACUACGUG
rnacentral:rRNA from 1 species